ACUGAGUAAUUGCUUUGCUUAUUGCAUGCUAAUUGCUGAAAAUUGCUUUUUAUUUUAAAUUCCUUAGCUAAAAAUUGCUUUUUCUUUCACAUUUCUCUGCUUAUUGAAUGACUAUUGCUAACUCAUUAGAUAGAACCUACUUCUCAUAUAAGUAGGUGGAUGCGGCCUCGAUUAGCGGGGGAACCACAUGAAAAAAAGCGAGCUACUGGGUGUACCUCCUGGGUAGUUUGGAAAUCACCUAAUAUAUAUAUGUAUAUAUUUAUAAAUAAAAGUUAAUAUAUAUAAAUUAACAUUAUUUUUUUUUAACAGGAAAUGCACAAUGCUAAAAACUGCGUAGGAGAUUUUAAUACAAUAGUACUACCAAGCCUGAUGUUGGCCGCUAUUUCAAUGAAUGCAGCAGUGUGACAGCUAGCAAUCAAAAGUAACAAGAUAUCGAGGAAAUGCAGAUGGCAAUAAACUGUGUAGGAGUUCAUGAUUGCAAUAGAAUAAAAUCGACCAAGCCUGAAGUCAGCAGCCCCUUCAAUGAAUGCAGCAGUGUGACAGCCAGCAAUCAAAAGUUACAAGAUAUCGAGGAAAUGCAGAUGGCAAUAAACUGUGUAGGAGUUCAUGAUUGCAAUAGAAUAAAAUCGACCAAGCCUGAAGUCAGCAGCCCCUUCAAUGAAUGCAGCAGUGUGACAGCCAACAAUCAAAAGUUACAAAAUAUCGAGGAAAUGCAGAAGGCAAAAAACUGCGUAGGAGAUCAUUAAUACAAAAGUAUUAUAUAAACCAAACCUGAUGUUGCCAGCUCCUUUAAUGAAUGCAGCAGUGUGACAGCCAGCAAUCAAAAGUAACAAGAUAUCGAGGAAAUGCAGAAGGCAAAAAACUGCGUAGGAGAUCAUUAAUACAAUAGUAUUAUAUAAACCAAGCCUGAUGUUGGCCGCUCAUUCAAAGAAUGCAGCAGUGUGACAGCCAGCAAUCAAAAGUAACAAGAUGUCGAGGAAAUGCAGAGUGCAAUAAACUGUGUAGGAGAUUAUGAUUGCAAUAGAAUAAAAUCGACCAAGCCUGAAGUCCUUCAAUGCACGCAGCAGUGUGACAGCCAGCAAUCAAAAGUUACAAGAUAUCGAGGAAAUGCAGAAGGCAAAAAACUGCGUAGGAGAUUAUUAAUACAAUAUUAAUACAAUAGUAUUAUAUCAACCAAGCCUGAUGUCGGUAGCUUCUUCAAUGAAUGCAGCAGUGUGACAGCCAGCAAUCAAUAGUGACAAGAAUCUAGGAAAUACAGAAGACAAAGAAGCAGAUGUCAUCAAAAAAG
rnacentral:misc_RNA from 1 species